GGAAUCUUCCGCAAUGGACGAAAGUCUGACGGAGCAACGCCGCGUGAGCGACGAAGGCCUUCGGGUCGUAAAGCUCUGUUGUCAGGGAAGAACAAGUGCGGGAGUAACUGCCCGCACCUUGACGGUACCUGACCAGAAAGCCACGGCUAACUACGUGCCAGCAGCCGCGGUAAUACGUAGGUGGCAAGCGUUGUCCGGAAUUAUUGGGCGUAAAGCGCGCGCAGGCGGUCCCUUAAGUCUGAUGUGAAAGCCCCCGGCUUAACCGGGGAGGGUCAUUGGAAACUGGGGGACUUGAGUGCAGAAGAGAAGAGCGGAAUUCCAUGUGUAGCGGUGAAAUGCGCAGAGAUAUGGAGGAACACCAGUGGCGAAGGCGGCUCUUUGGUCUGUAACUGACGCUGAGGCGCGAAAGCGUGGGGAGCAAA
rnacentral:rRNA from 1 species